rnacentral:rRNA from 1 species
AAUCUGAAUAACUUCGGGCUGAGCGCACGGUCUCCGCACCGGCGCCGCUUCUUUCAAGUGUCUGCCUUAUCAGCUUUCGAUUGUGAGGUUAUGCGCCUACAAUGGCUAUAACGGGUAACGGGGAAUCAGGGUUCGAUUCCGGAGAGGGAGCCUGAGAAACGGCUACCACAUCUAAGGAAGGCAGCAGGCACGCAAAUWACCCACUCCCGGCACGGGGAGGUAGUGACGAAAAAUAACGAUGUGAGUCUCAUCCGAGGCCUCGCAAUCGGAAUGAGUACACUUUAAAUCCUUUAACGAGUAUCCAUUGGAGGGCAAGUCUGGUGCCAGCAGCCGCGGUAAUUCCAGCUCCAAUAGCGUAUAUUAAAGUUGUUGCGGUUAAAAAGCUCGUAGUUGGAUCUCAGUUCCGGACUGACGGUGCACCGCCCGGUGCUUACUGUCACGCUCCGAACAGCCGCCCCGCCGGCUCGCACGGGAUGCUCUUUGUCGAGUGUCCCGAGUGGCCGGAGAGUUUACUUUGAAAAAAUUAGAGUGCUCAGAGCAGGCUAUUUGAAUGGCCCGAAUGGUGAUGCAUGGAAUAAUGGAAUAGGACCUCGGUUCUAUUUUGUUGGUUUUCGGAACCAGAGGUAAUGACUAAUCGGAACAGGCGGGGGCAUUCGUAUUGCGACGCUAGAGGUGAAAUUCUUGGACCGUCGCAAGACGAACUACUGCGAAAGCAUUUGCCAAGGAUGUUUUCAUUAAUCAAGAACGAAAGUUAGAGGUUCGAAGGCGAUCAGAUACCGCCCUAGUUCUAACCAUAAACGAUGCCAACUAGCGAUCCGCCGGCGUUAUUCCCAUGACCCGGCGGGCAGCUUCCGGGAAACCAAAGUCUUUGGGUUCCGGGGGAAGUAUGGUUGCAAAGCUGAAACUUAAAGGAAUUGACGGAAGGGCACCACCAGGAGUGGAGCCUGCGGCUUAAUUUGACUCAACACGGGAAACCUCACCAGGCCCAGACACCGGAAGGAUUGACAGAUUGAGAGCUCUUUCUCGAUUCGGUGGGUGGUGGUGCAUGGCCGUUCUUAGUUGGUGGAGCGAUUUGUCUGGUUAAUUCCGAUAACGAACGAGACUCUGGCCUACUAAGUAGUCGACGGAUCUCCAGAAUAUGGUGUCCAGUUCGCAACUUCUUCUUAGAGGGAUAAGCGGCAAUUCUAGCCGCACGAGAUUGAGCAAUAACAGGUCUGUGAUUCCGUUAGAUGUUCUGGGCCGCACGCGCGCUACACUGAAGGGAUCAACGAGUUUUCCCCCUCCGAGAGGAGCGGGUAACCCGUUCAAAGCCUUUCUUGAUAGGGAUUGGGGCUUGCAAUUGUUUCCCAUGUACGAGGAAUUCCCAGUAAGUGCAAGUCAUCAGCUUGCGCUGACUAC